AGAUGGCAAAACCAGCCAGUCUGUGUUCUUCUCUUCAGAGUGGUAAGUUCCCCUGGGCCCUGGCAGGUCCAGAGUUGCUGUCCAGGAUCAAGGGCCUUGUGUUGUAAACCUUAAAAAUCUACCUGGUACUCUAUUCUGCUGUAGCUAAGUUGGCAUCAAAACCACAAGACAAAGUCCUUUUCCCGAUAAGAAGUGACAACAGAAAUAGAGGUCAGAGUGAUGCAGGGAAAGGGGCAGGAGUCAAGGGAUACGGGCAGCCAAUAAAAGAUAGAAAAAGUCUCUGGUAUUAAAUUAUUCCCUAGACUUUGCACUUCAGGAGGAUAUCUAAUAGACAAAGAUUGAUUCACCAAUUAAAUAAAAUCUGCAUGUUCUAAAUCAAAAACAAGCUCAUUGAGGUUUAUUUAGCUAGAAAUCCCUUGCUAAAUUAUUGUUUAAAAUAAGACAUAAACAGGGAAAACACCAUUGCAUGAUGAGUAAUUAGAAAAAUGAAUGACUUUUUG
rnacentral:lncRNA from 1 species